rnacentral:tRNA from 1 species
AGAGGUAUAGCUCAAUGGUAGAGCGCAUGCAUGAGGUCCUGGGUUCAAUCCCCAGUACCUCCA